CGGGGCCUACGGGGCGCAGCAGUAGGGAAUUUUCGUCAAUGGGCGCAAGCCUGAACGAGCAAUGCCGCGUGAACGAGUAAGGUCUUCGGAUCGUAAAGUUCUGUUGAAGGGGAAAAAGAGCGGAGAGAGGAAAUGAACUCCGAUUGAUAUUACCCUUCGAGGAAGUCACGGCUAACUACGUGCCAGCAGCCGCGGUAAUACGUAGGUGGCGAGCGUCAUCCGGAAUGAUUGGGCGUAAAGGGUGCGUAGGCGGCCUGCUAAGUCUGGAGUGAAAGGGACCGGCUCAACCGGUACAGGCUCUGGAA
rnacentral:rRNA from 1 species